ACAAUAGGAACAGCCAUGUUUGGGGCACGCAUACCAGAGGGUUAAAGACUUUGUAAUUUCUUUUUAACAAGUGAUUGAACAACCAUGGAUCCUCAUUCUAGUGCCCAGGAUAUACCCCGAUGUGACCAUUGUGAGACCGCCAAAGUUCACAGCUACUGUGACAUUGUAUAGGCAAACACAUCUCAGAUGGGUAUGACAAACAUAAAAUAGUCCCAUUCCAGGAACGAAGAUCAACCCUCAUCUAUCCUAAAUGUGGAACACAUACACACAAAAAUUGUGAAUUUCAGUGCAAGGAUUGCAGCAACAUUUUUGUUUGUUCUUCCUGCAUGGCAUCUGAACAACAUGGAAGACAUAGAUUUGUAGAAGUUGCAGAAGUUUUCAAGACAAAGAAAGAUGAUAUUAAAAAAGAUACAAAAGAGUUAGAAAAUCACAUUUCCCCUACGUAUGAAGAUAUUGCACGUGACUUGGAAAAUCAGCUUGCCAACCUGGAUGGAGGAUAUGAGAAAAUUACAACAACAAUGUCCAAACAAGGAGAGCAAUGGCACAGAGAAAUUGACAUAAUCAUCAACAAAAUGAAAACUGAAAUAAGCGAGAUAAAAGUGAAACAUAGAGACAUUCUACAGAAACAUUUGGAUGAAAUCAAACAGAUACAGUCUCUCAUAAAACAAACUUUACAAGCCAUUAGGAAAAUUGAGAAAUCCACGGAAGUAUAUUCAACCAUGGAAUACAGCUCUAAGAUCAGAGAGUUCAGCAAGCUUCCACCCAAAAUUCAGGUAUCACUGCCAACGUUCAUUCCAAAACCAAUAGAUCGUGAGAAGCUGUAUAGUUUGUUUGGACAGAUCACCCCAUUAUCUACUGCUACAGAAGAAAAUGUCUUGUCACUGAACCAACCUACCACUUCAGUUAGAGAACUACUGAAUGAACCCGAGCUUGUUGCCACAAUACAGACUGAGCAUGAAAAACUACGUAGUGUCACAAGUCUGAAUGGAGACAAGAUAUGGACGAGUGGAGAGACCAAUGAUAUCAAAUGCAUCAACAUUAAAGGUUCACUCCUCCAGACAAUCCAAAACAAAUCAGGUAAAUUCCCUGGUGAUAUAGCUGUAGACAGUGAUGGUGAUCUACUGUAUACUAGUGGGCCAACAAGGACAGUAAAUAAAGUAAAGAAUGGACAGACAGAAGAGUUGAUCAGAUUACAUGGAUGGAAGCCUGGUUAUCUGUGUGUCACCUCUACUGGUGAUCUCCUGGUUACCAUGUUCAGUGAUGAUUAUACUCAAAUGCAAUCCAAAGUUGCCCGUUACUUGGGAUCUACAGAGAAACAAACCAUUCAAUUUGAUGAUGAAAGUAAACCUCUGUACUCUGGGAAUAGUAAGAUUAAAUACAUCACAGAGAACAGAAACCAUGACGUCUGUGUAGCUGACUAUGGGGCUGGUGAAGUAGUGGUGGUUAAUCAGGACAGGAAACUCAGAUGGAGAUACACCGGUCAUCCCUCAGUUACCAAGAACAAACCAUUUAAACCCUGGGGUAUCACAACAGACAGUCAGAGUCGUAUCCUGACAGCAGACAGUGGCAACCAUUGUAUUCACAUUCUGGAUCGGAAUGGACAGUUUCUCCGUUACAUUGAUAACUGUGAUCUAAAUUAUCCUACUGGUUUAUGUGUGGACAAUAAUGACAAUCUGUUUGUGUGUGAGCCCAGGAAAGGCAAUGUAAAGAAAAUCAAAUAUCUAAAGUAGACAUCACCAAUUGUAAAAAUGUGAUGUAAAUAAAACAAUAGUGGCUAUUUCUGUGUCUAUUGAAUUUCAAUGUUAGCGUAUACCAUAAAAUAUAUUAAAACUAUAGUACUUAACUUUCCUUAUACAGAUGAAUUUAUAAAUUUUAUUCAUUUAUACCAUUAAUAAAUUUAUUUUCCAUAAAAAAUAACU
rnacentral:misc_RNA from 1 species